rnacentral:rRNA from 1 species
GAUGAACGCUGGCGGCGUGCCUAAUACAUGCAAGUCGAGCGAACGGACGAGAAGCUUGCUUCUCUGAUGUUAGCGGCGGACGGGUGAGUAACACGUGGAUAACCUACCUAUAAGACUGGGAUAACUUCGGGAAACCGGAGCUAAUACCGGAUAAUAUUUUGAACCGCAUGGUUCAAAAGUGAAAGACGGUCUUGCUGUCACUUAUAGAUGGAUCCGCGCUGCAUUAGCUAGUUAGUAAGGUAACGGCUUACCAAGGCAACGAUGCAUAGCCGACCUGAGAGGGUGAUCGGCCACACUGGAACUGAGACACGGUCCAGACUCCUACGGGAGGCAGCAGUAGGGAAUCUUCCGCAAAGGGCGAAAGCCUGACGGAGCAACGCCGCGUGAGUGAUGAAGGUCUUCGGAUCGUAAAACUCUGUUAUUAGGGAAGAACAUAUGUGUAAGUAACUGUGCACAUCUUGACGGUACCUAAUCAGAAAGCCACGGCUAACUACGUG